rnacentral:rRNA from 1 species
GACGAACGCUGGCGGCGUGCUUAACACAUGCAAGUCGAACGGAAAGGCCCUGCUUUUGUGGGGUGCUCGAGUGGCGAACGGGUGAGUAACACGUGAGUAACCUGCCCUUGACUUUGGGAUAACUUCAGGAAACUGGGGCUAAUACCGGAUAGGAGCUCCUGCUGCAUGGUGGGGGUUGGAAAGUUUCGGCGGUUGGGGAUGGACUCGCGGCUUAUCAGCUUGUUGGUGGGGUAGUGGCUUACCAAGGCUUUGACGGGUAGCCGGCCUGAGAAGGUGACCGGCCACAUUGGGACUGAGAUACGGCCCAGACUCCUACGGGAGGCAGAAGUGGGGAAUAUUGCACAAUGGGCGGAAGCCUGAUGCAGCAACGCCGCGUGCGGGAUGACGGCCUUCGGGUUGUAAACCGCUUUCGCCUGUGACGAAGCGUGAGUGACGGUAAUGGGUAAAGAAGCACCGGCUAACUACGUG